rnacentral:rRNA from 1 species
UACGAAGGGUGCAAGCGUUACUCGGAAUUACUGGGCGUAAAGCGUGCGUAGGUGGUUUGUUAAGUCUGAUGUGAAAGCCCUGGGCUCAACCUGGGAAUGGCAUUUGGGACUGCAAGGCUCGAGUGCGGCAGAGGAGACUGGAAUUCCUGGUGUAGCAGUGAAAUGCGUAGAUAUCAGGAGGAACACCGAUGGCGAAGGCAGGUCUCUGGGCUGACACUGACGCUCAUGCACGAAAGCGUGGGGAGCAAACAGG